UGGUGGCGAGUGGCGAACGGGUGAGUAAAGCAUCGGAACGUGCCCUGAAGUGGGGGAUAACGUAGCGAAAGUUACGCUAAUACCGCAUAUUCUGUGAGCAGGAAAGCAGGGGACCUUAGGGCCUUGCGCUUUGGGAGCGGCCGAUGUCGGAUUAGCUAGUUGGUGAGGUAAAGGCUCACCAAGGCGACGAUCCGUAGCGGGUCUGAGAGGAUGAUCCGCCACACUGGGACUGAGACACGGCCCAGACUCCUACGGGAGGCAGCAGUGGGGAAUUUUGGACAAUGGGCGCAAGCCUGAUCCAGCCAUGCCGCGUGAGUGAAGAAGGCCUUCGGGUUGUAAAGCUCUUUCGGUUGGGAAGAAAUUGCCUGGGAUAAUACCCCAGGUAGAUGACGGUACCAGCAUAAGAAGCACCGGCUAACUACGUGCCAGCAGCCGCGGUAAUACGUAGGGUGCGAGCGUUAAUCGGAAUUACUGGGCGUAAAGCGUGCGCAGGCGGUUGUGUAAGUCAGAUGUGAAAUCCCCGGGCUCAACCUGGGAACUGCAUUUGAGACUGCACGGCUAGAGUGUGGCAGAGGGGGGUAGAAUUCCACGUGUAGCAGUGAAAUGCGUAGAGAUGUGGAGGAAUACCGAUGGCGAAGGCAGCCCCCUGGGCCAAUACUGACGCUCAUGCACGAAAGCGUGGGGAGCAAGCAGGAUUAGAUACCCUGGUAGUCCACGCCCUAAACGAUGUCAACUAGGUGUUGGAAGGGUUAAACCUUUUAGUGCCGUAGCUAACGCGUGAAGUUGACCGCCUGGGAGUACGGCCGCAAGGCUAAAACUCAAAGGAAUUGACGGGGACCCGCACAAGCGGUGGAUGAUGUGGAUUAAUUCGAUGCAACGCGAAAAACCUUACCUACCCUUGACAUGUCAGGAAUCCCGGAGAGAUUUGGGAGUGCUCGAAAGAGAACCUGAACACAGGUGCUGCAUGGCUGUCGUCAGCUCGUGUCGUGAGAUGUUGGGUUAAGUCCCGCAACGAGCGCAACCCUUGUCAUUAAUUGCCAUCAUUUAGUUGGGCACUCUAAUGAGACUGCCGGUGACAAACCGGAGGAAGGUGGGGAUGACGUCAAGUCCUCAUGGCCCUUAUGGGUAGGGCUUCACACGUCAUACAAUGGUCGGUCCAGAGGGUUGCCAACCCGCGAGGGGGAGCCAAUCUCAGAAAGCCGAUCGUAGUCCGGAUUGCAGUCUGCAACUCGACUGCAUGAAGUCGGAAUCGCUAGUAAUCGCGGAUCAGCAUGUCGCGGUGAAUACGCUCCCGGGUCUUGUACACACCGCCCGUCACACCAUGGGAGCGGGUUCUGCCAGAAGUAGUUAGCCUAACCGCAAGGGGGGCGAUUACCACGGCAGGGUUCGUGACUGGGGUGAAGUCGUAACAAGGUA
rnacentral:rRNA from 1 species